GCGGACGUGCCGGGCGAAGCUCCCUUGGUAAGGGAGAGGUCGAGAGUUCAAUCCUCUCCAGCAGCACCA
rnacentral:tRNA from 1 species